CGCCGGAUGGGCCCACGCAUUCGUAUACACACGUGCGCGCCCGCCCGGGCUCCCAGUGUCGCGGGUGGAGCCACGCCUGAGCCCUUCCGAGUUCUCCCGUGGCCGCCAGGUGCCUCCCCUCCGCGAGACCUCCGCCGCCUCUGACUUUCUGGUUGGCUGAGCCUCAGCUUCCCCGGCACGGGCUGAAGCCCCCGGGGCCUUCCACGCAGCCCCGGGCCCCUCUGCCGCUCGGCUCCGCGGCGGAGCAGGCGCGCCGGCCGCUGCGUAUCGAGCUGGGAGAGCCUGGCGCGGCUUCCGCGGUGCCGAGCGUUUUGCAGCCUGGGAGACCCGGGCUUCUCUCCCCAUGGGUCAGCAGCGCACCGCCUCCACACCCCAGCCCGCCCUCCUAGGGACAGGCCUCUGGCUCUGAGUGUGGCAACAACGCUGGAUGGCUGUACAAGGAUCCCUGACCUGCCAUGGAUGCAGAUGGAACCACUGGGAUGGUGACACGGGCUCAGCCUUGGACUCCAGACAUUAAAUCCGCCCAAGAGAGGAUCAGCAUAAACUUGCCAGCAGCAGGGGACAGCAUCUACAGGGUCUGGAGCAAUCAUGACUCACUACCUUCGACCUCCUGGGCUCAAUCGAUCCUCCAGCCUCAGCCUCCUGAGCAGCUGGGACUACAAGUGUGUGUCACCACACCCAGCUAAUUUUUUUUUUUUUUUUUUUUAGAGAUUGGGUCUCACUGUGUUGCCCAGGCUGGUCUCAAACAACUGGGCUCAAACAAUCUUCCUGCUUCAGCCUUCCAAGGUGUUAGGGUUACAGGCAUGAGCCACUGUGCCCAGCCAAGCAACUCUUAUAUACUAAUAAACUUAUAAAUGUGGCAAAUCAGUUAUCUUA